rnacentral:rRNA from 1 species
GACGAACGCUGGCGGCGUGCCUAAUACAUGCAAGUCGAGCGCAGUUGCGAGCGGGUGAGUAACGCGUAGGUAACUACCUGUUAGAGUGGGGUAACUAUUGGAAACGAUCGCUAAUACCGCCUACUUGUAGAUGGCCCUGCGUUGGAUUAGCUAGUAGGUAGGGUAAUGGCCUCCCUAGGCAACGAUACAUAGCCGACCUGGGAGGGGGAGCGGCCAAACUGGGAAUGGGACAAGGGCCAGAAUCCUAAGGGAGGGAGCAGGAGGGGAACUUCGGAAAAGGGGGGAAACCUGACCGAGCAAAGCCGCGGGAGUGAAGAAGGGUUUCGGAGCGUAAAGCUCUGUUGUGAAGGAAGCGGUACUUAAACAGAAAGGGACGGCUAACUACGUGCCAGCAGCCGCGGUAAUAC